UGAGACCCAGCGGGAGGACUUCUUGGGAGAAUUGAGGAGGUAUGGUAGGUGAGCUGCUUGCCUCUCUGGGAAGCAGGAUUCUGCCUCAGCCUUUGAACCUUGAGUUCUUCAGUGGGACAGAGAUUUCCUUAGUAGCUCCCAAAGAGUUGGUACCUGAGGGAACAGAAUUCCCUCAGGCUUCAGGUCUUGCGGCCUAGUCGCUGCUGGUAGCGGCGAAGUGGCAGUUGCUGAAUAGGAUAGCUGUGGCGUUAAAAAACUGUCACACGGAAGGAAGGGUCACUCCAGCAGGCUCUGUUGAAUAAGCCAUCUGAACUCAGCGCUAGCAGUCAGCUGUUGCUUGCCGGGAGAAGUCACCAGAAUUGGAUGAUGGAACCCCACAACAAUUCUGCCUGGAUCACAAUAAUGCCAUUGGCCAACAUUUCAGUUUCUUCAGGGUGUCAGCGCCCCCAAACAACAGUAAUUUUAGAGAUUGAUUCCCACAUUCCUAAGAGCUGCUUCACAAUCCUGCUCCUGUGACCUUCCAGCCAUGAUAGGCCCAUGCUGCUUCUCUCAAGUGUGUGUCUCCUCACCAAACCAUGUGUUGGGUGAUGGAAAGCUGGCUGGUGCAGCACCUCCCCUGCCUUGGACGAGCCCCCGCCCUGCCCCGCCUUCAGCUAUGUAGCUGGUGAGAAACACUCAAACACCGAUGUGUAGAAGACAAGAGGACAAGCUUCCUUGUGAUCUGCACUUGUCCCCACCAAAGCGCACAUCAGAUCCACCCUACCAUAGAUGUGUGGGGCGUUGGGAUCAGGUGGGGCCUCCAGGAAGCGACUGCCCUCACAGACAAUCCUAGCCUUGUGAUACUCUGCACUUGCUCUGUCUCUAUCAACAGGAAGGCAUCAUUGGAUUCAAACCCUUGACCUUAAGCCAGAACCAUGAGCCAAAAAUCUACUUAGUCUUCAGUAUUCUAUUAUGAGCAACAUAAAACAGACAUAGCCAGUGAUUUCACAGAUGGAAACAUAUCCAGGAAAAUAGAAUUAAAAAAAAUACAGUUCGA